CAGAAAUGAGGAGAGGAAGGGAAUAAAAGGGAGUGCUGUCUCAUCGUUCUUAGAGUGCACAACGCGUUUAUUAUCAUCACCUAAAUGGCAUCAGACAGGGAGUACUGUGUAUUUAGUAUGGAUAGUAUGGAUGAAGAGCUUUUUAUGCUAAUCUGAACGCCGAGACAUUUUCAGUGAGGCCCCUGGGAUGUCAUUGAAGGCUGAGUGCUGGGACCCCUGGGCUAGAUGUUUCUGACGAACGAAGACUGAAGGGUGUUGGAACCCAAGAUCCUGUUUGAUACUGCAUAAGCCUGAGUCAGCUGAAAGGUGCACACAGACCUCUUCUGCCCGGGCACGGCAGGCCUUCUCCACCCGCUCCUUCCAGCUCCCCUGGAUCAGGGCAUG